UUUCCGUAGGUGAACCUGCGGAAGGAUCAUUAACAAAUAAAAGAGUGGUAGGCGUAAGCCUGCCACUCAUAAGCGAUGGCCCGCGAGGGUCAUCACAAUCAACUGAUCAUAAUUAGACAUCAUAAAUACAACUAAAUACAACUUUUAACAAUGGAUCUCUUGGUUCCC
rnacentral:misc_RNA from 1 species